rnacentral:rRNA from 1 species
AGCGAACGCUGGCGGCAGGCCUAACACAUGCAAGUCGAACGAACCCUUCGGGGUUAGUGGCGGACGGGUGAGUAACACGUGGGAACGUGCCUUUAGGUUCAGAAUAACUCAGGGAAACUUGUGCUAAUACCGAAUGUGCCCUUCGGGGGAAAGAAUUAUCGCCUUUAGAGCGGCCCGCGUCUGAUUAGCUAGUUGGUGGGGUAAUGGCUCACCAAGGCUACGAUCAGUAGCUGGUCUGAGAGGAUGACCAGCCACAUUGGGACUGAGACACGGCCCAAACUCCUACGGGAGGCAGCAGUGGGGAAUCUUGCGCAAUGGGCGAAAGCCUGACGCAGCCAUGCCGCGUGGAUGAUGAAGGUCUUAGGAUUGUAAAAUCCUUUCACCGGUGAAGAUAAUGACUGUAGCCGGAGAAGAAGCCCCGGCUAACUUCGUGCCAGCCGCCACAGUAACAC